rnacentral:rRNA from 1 species
UAAGGAAUAUUGCUCAAUGGGAGAAAUCCUGAAGCAGCAACGCCGCGUGGAGGAUGAAGGGUCUAUGACUUGUAAACUCCUGUAAAGAAGGAAAAAAUUCCCAUUUGAUGGGAGAUGAUGGUACUUCUGGAGUAAGCCACGGCUAACUACGUGCCAGCAGCCGCGGUAAUACGUAGGGGGCAAGCGUUGUCCGGAUUUACUGGGUGUAAAGGGUGCUCAGGCGGAUUUGUAAGUCAGAGGUGAAAUCUUACAGCUUAACUGUGAAACUGCCUUUGAUACUGCAAGCCUAGAGUAUGGAAGAGAGUGAUGGAAUAUUUGGUGUAGCAGUGAAACGCGUAGAUAUCAGAUAGAACACCAAUGGCGAAGGCAGUCACUUGGUCCAUUACUGACGCUAAAGCACGAAAGCGUGGGUAGCAAACA